rnacentral:rRNA from 1 species
AACGAACGCUGGCGGCAUGCCUAACACAUGCAAGUCGAACGAGAACGGUCUUUCGGGACUUAUUAGAGUGGCGGACGGGUGAGUAACGCGUGGGAACCUGCCCUUAGGUAAGGAAUAACAGUUGGAAACGACUGCUAAUACCUUAUAUUCCUCUUCGGAGGGAAAGAUUUAUCGCCUUUGGAUGGGCCCGCGUUAGAUUAGGUAGUUGGUGAGGUAAAGGCUCACCAAGCCGACGAUCUAUAGCUGGUUUGAGAGGAUGAUCAGCCACACUGGGACUGAGACACGGCCCAG